AGAAUGGUUUGGAAGGGAGCUGGCUCAGCAGUGAGUCAUCUUCUAUGGCUUUCUUUAUUUCCACUC
rnacentral:miRNA from 1 species